rnacentral:piRNA from 1 species
UGAGCCACCAGGGAAGCCACUCGCCUACUCC